UACGUAGGGUGCGAGCGUUAAUCGGAAUUACUGGGCGUAAAGCGUGCGCAGGCGGUUUCUGAAGUCCGUUGUGAAAGCCCCGGGCUUAACCCUGGGAAUGGCAGUGGAAACUAGGAGACUUGAAUCUGGCAGAGGGGGUGAGAAUUCCACGUGUAGCAGUGAAAUGCGUAGAGAUGUGGAGGAAUACCGAUGGCGAAGGCAGCCC
rnacentral:rRNA from 1 species